UCAGGACGAACGCUGGCGGCGUGCCUAAUACAUGCAAGUUGAGCGCUGAAAGGUUGGUACUUGUACCGACUGGAUGAGCAGCGAACGGGUGAGUAACGCGUGGGGAAUCUGCCUUUGAGCGGGGGACAACAUUUGGAAACGAAUGCUAAUACCGCAUAAAAAACUUUAAACACAAGUUUUAAGUUUGAAAGAUGCAAUUGCAUCACUCAAAGAUGAUCCCGCGUUGUAUUAGCUAGUUGGUGAGGUAAAGGCUCACCAAGGCGAUGAUACAUAGCCGACCUGAGAGGGUGAUCGGCCACAUUGGGACUGAGACACGGCCCAAACUCCUACGGGAGGCAGCAGUAGGGAAUCUUCGGCAAUGGACGAAAGUCUGACCGAGCAACGCCGCGUGAGUGAAGAAGGUUUUCGGAUCGUAAAACUCUGUUGGUAGAGAAGAACGUUGGUGAGAGUGGAAAGCUCAUCAAGUGACGGUAACUACCCAGAAAGGGACGGCUAACUACGUGCCAGCAGCCGCGGUAAUACGUAGGUCCCGAGCGUUGUCCGGAUUUAUUGGGCGUAAAGCGAGCGCAGGUGGUUUAUUAAGUCUGGUGUAAAAGGCAGUGGCUCAACCAUUGUAUGCAUUGGAAACUGGUAGACUUGAGUGCAGGAGAGGAGAGUGGAAUUCCAUGUGUAGCGGUGAAAUGCGUAGAUAUAUGGAGGAACACCGGUGGCGAAAGCGGCUCUCUGGCCUGUAACUGACACUGAGGCUCGAAAGCGUGGGGAGCAAACAGGAUUAGAUACCCUGGUAGUCCACGCCGUAAACGAUGAGUGCUAGAUGUAGGGAGCUAUAAGUUCUCUGUAUCGCAGCUAACGCAAUAAGCACUCCGC
rnacentral:rRNA from 1 species